GACGAACGCUGGCGGCGUGCUUAACACAUGCCAGUCGAACGGAAAGGCCCUGCUUUUGUGGGGUGCUCGAGUGGCGAACGGGUGAGUAACACGUGAGUAACCUGCCCUUGACUUUGGGAUAACUUCAGGAAACUGGGGCUAAUACCGGAUAGGAGCUCCUGCUGCAUGGUGGGGGUUGGAAAGUUUCGGCGGUUGGGGAUGGACUCGCGGCUUAUCAGCUUGUUGGUGGGGUAGUGGCUUACCAAGGCUUUGACUGGUAGCCGGCCUGAGAGGGUGACCGGCCACAUUGGGACUGAGAUACGGCCCAGACUCCUACGGGAGGCAGCAGUGGGGAAUAUUGCACAAUGGGCGGAAGCCUGAUGCAGCAACGCCGCGUGCGGGAUGACGGCCUUCGGGUUGUAAACCGCUUUCGCCUGUGACGAAGCGUGAGUGACGGUAAUGGGUAAAGAAGCACCGGCUAACUACGUG
rnacentral:rRNA from 1 species